AUGCUAGCUUACGCAAUAUUCCUCCUGGUUGCUUUGCAGACGACUACUGGGGUCGUUGGCAAACUUGGUCCUCCAGGCGGACCUCUCAACCUUCCCCGCGGAGACGUAGACCCGAAGAAGAUAUUCGCAACGUUUACGAACGUUGUGGCCAUAUCGGACGCAGACAAUGACACGAUAUUCGAAUGCCUUUACUCCGAACGAAUAAAGUAUGACCCUGUGAAAAAUACCGCCACCUACAUCUGGAUAUUACCGUCAGCAGGAAUAGUGGUUCCCUUUUCCAUCUAUAUAGCGAAGCCUCCCUCGCAGCUGGAGUUCACCAUACCAGGCGGCA